CCCCAUGCAAUCAGACAGCGGAACAACAAGAGGCUCUCUGGUCAGCUGGGCCUGGACGCCCGGGGACAAAUCCUUGGUAUAGGCGGUGAGCUCUUGGGCCAGGAAUUUGGGGCAAAGCUGAACGAGUCCCACCCCAAGGGUACAUCCAGCCUAACCAUGGGGCUCCAAACUUCCCUUCUCAGGGGCAGAUAUAACCUCAUCUACGAGGGUCCUUAUCAUCACAAGUUUGGCCCAGCAAAUGAUGUUCCUCAACUGCACCACAGCCACUGCAUCUCAACAGGUCCUCAGUCUCUCUUGCAACAACAAAAGCUGAAGUUGAAGUGUGAAAGAGAGAAAGAGUUGACAUGAAAUUGCUGCUUCAGCCUUAAUUGGAACAUCAGCAGCACCAGCAACAACAACACUUAAAAUUCAGCAAUCAACAGUUUGAUUGACGAAGGCUUUUAAAUGAAAAACUGUCAAUUUACAAAGCACCCUUCCCUGAAAAUCUGGCCAAGCUAAUACACAAUGUGAAUGCAUCAACGUGACCCUUCAGAGAAACAGGAUUCCAGGCCGAAUGUCAAACUGUCUGGGCUCCAGCAGCAGCCUCAGCCGUGGGGGUCAGGUUCAUGAUGCACCUAUGCUCUCAAUGCUCUAUGAACAUCAUAAUCUCACAGCAACAGUGGAUAACAUGACCUUCAAGUUGGGGAUGGUUGAGGGUCUCCCAAAACCACCCAGUGCCUUGCGAUGAAAACCUCCAACGGGACUGUGACCUUGCCCUUGGACUCACCUAAUGGUCAGGUUCAAGGUCACAUGGGCUUAGAUAGUCACUGCAGUAAAAAAGUGUAUGGUUUUAAAGUAAAGAAGAUGACUUCACAACAUGACAUCCAAGACUGCAGGGACGAAAUGACUCACGCCAGCAGAGGAAGCCAAGACACAAUACGAGAAUUUCCAGCGGCUUACCUGCUUAAAACCUGGGUAGCAGAGCAAUGAGUAUAUCCCAGGAGCAUUUGCAGUCACAGCAAGUGAACCAGCGGCAGUCAUCGUCUCUAGAUUCCGAGAUCCCCAUGCUUCACAACCCUCAGUCUAUGAACAUCAUGCAGAGCAAACCUUGGACGUCCAUUGACGAAAUCAAACCGGCAAAUCAGAAGGACAGCCUAUUGCUACAGUUGUUAUCAUAUUAACCCCAGUCAUACCGAAGAAGCUCAGAGAUAUAAAUGCUGUUUAAGAUGUGCUAGUUUCUGCAUACUCCAUGUCUGGUGUGAACAUGUACAAAUGAAAGUCUCUACAUACCCCAUGUCUGAUGUGAACAUGUUCAAAUGAAAGUCUCUACAUACCCAAUGUCUGAUGUGAACAUGUACAAUUGAAGGUCUCUACAUACCCCAUGUCUGAUGUGAACAUGUACAAUUGAAAGUCUCUGCAUACUCCAUGUCUGGUGUGAACAUGUACAAUUGAAAGUCUCUGCAUACUCCAUGUCUGGUGUGAACAUGUACAAUUGAAAGUCUCUGCAUACUCCAUGUCUGGUGUGAACAUGUACAAUUGAAAGUCUCUGCAUACUCCAUGUCUGGUGUGAACAUGUACAAUUGAAAGUCUCUGCAUACCCCAUGUCUGAUGUGAACAUGUACAAUUGAAAGUCUCUGCAUACCCCAUGUCUGAUGUGAACAUGUACAAUUGAAAGUCUCUGCAUACUCCAUGUCUGGUGUGAACAUGUACAAUUGAAAGUCUCUGCAUACUCCAUGUCUGGUGUGAACAUGUACAAUUGAAAGUCUCUGCAUACUCCAUGUCUGGUGUGAACAUGUACAAUUGAAGGUCUCUACAUACUCCAUGUCUGGUGUGAACAUGUACAAUUGAAGGUCUCUACAUACCCCAUGUCUGGUGUGAACAUGUUCAAUUGAAGGUCUCAUCUUUGAAUUUGGGACAGGUGGAAAAUUAGUGACUUGAUUCAGACAAAAAUCGCAUAAUGACAAAUCCCAACAAAAAGUGGAAAGCCAGAAAGUCUUGUGGCCAGCCAUGUUUUUAUGUGACCAUCCCAGUUGUGUUCAAGGAAAAACAAAAGUUCAUGUUUUAUUGGAACUAUUAUGUUGUCAGUCAUUUUAUGUUGAAGGCUUUUAUUAACUAUAUUUAAAUUUAAUAAGAUUAAGAUUACUUGAUAAAAGCAAUAAUGUAAGAUAUUAUUAUAAGCGCAAAAUUAGCUUUGUACUUUGUCUGUUUUGUGAAAUUUUAUUUUGGAAAUGUUAAGGAAAAUAUAAUGCUAGUAAAUAUAUGUCUAUGCAUGUUGAAUUUAACAUUUGUCAAACUGUUUUAAUGAUGCUGGUAACUUUGACAAAAUUGAAAAAAAUGUAUUGUUUUCAUGUAAUGACACAUGUUUUUUUUUGCUAAACCUGUACUAUAGAGGUCAUAGUUACAAGAAUUAUUCAGACAGGUGGAGAAUGUUUAUGCUAUGGCUUUGAUACUCUUCAGUGUGCCCAUUGGUGUCAGUGUUUUUCGGCGUAAGCUGUAUUAAGCCAGCUUUUCACCCUGACUUGAACUUUGUAAGUGUCCAAUAAUACUCAAAUAAAAUUUCCCGCGGCUAGGUACGAAUGAAUACACUUCAUUUAUUCCAUUGGCUGAUUUGAGUAUAACACCAGAACAUUGGAAACAUAUCCGCGUCUUUGUAACACUGUUUUACUGCAUGAAACAAUUUUAUCUCUAAUUAAAAGGCUCAAUAGAUAGAACAGUUUUACAAUCAAUUUUCGACAUAAAUACAGUUUGUGCGUUCACCUUUUAUUUUCAGAGAAUUACCAGCGCAAAAGCGUUUAUACUAAAGGCUAUGUUGUCAUAUUUAGUACUUACUUGCAUUGCAUUUCAACCGGCGAGGUUCGGGUCAAUGCGCGGCCAUUUGUGUAAGUCAGAGUUUAUAUACAGUUCAUCACCGGAGUUCGCAGAAGGGGUUGCGAUCAUUGUGUUACACCGGUCUUACUGACAAUAACGUAGUGACUGUAAUGCAUUGCAUUCCAAUCCGCAAGGUAUCGAGGUCAGUUUGCGGUCAGUUGCAGAAAUCUUUAUAUAAACGCCGUCUCGUAAACUUUGUGCACUUGAAGUCUGUUUUGAUCAGAAAGAUACUAAAUAAAGAUAUUCGGCGAUAUUAUUGUGGUAUGUCAAUCAUCGAUUUUUGAUAUGGUUUCAACAUUUGCAUGAUAAGGACCAAUUUUUAUAAAAUUAAUUAGAAAUAUUUAUCCAUUUAGACCAGUUUAUUAAGCAUGAGCACAAUAAUUCGCUAUACUAUAAUUAUGCAAUUAAAUAAGAUUCGAGUAUUGCCGGCUGACCUAUAUGCACUCGUUUAUUUUCAUGUUUCUUGUGUUUUUCUAUUCUGUAAAUAUAGAUAUCUGAGUAAUAAUAUCACAUAAAGCAAAAUAAGCCACGAAAUCUGGCGCAACACCCCGUAAUUGAUUUGCUUAUGAUGUAGCUAAGAACUGCGCACAAAAAAGGCAUCCGCUACUUUUUAUCUCAUAGAGAUAACUUUUGAUCGUUCAUAAACAUCGACCACAAUCAACGCCGUAUAUCUUUUUUAAAGAUAUUUCUUGUUAUCAAUAAUGUUGUUUAUUGUCUUACUAUUUCUUGAAAAUAUUGAUUAAUUUCAGACAAAAACAUUUAAUCUUCCUUAAAUUGUCUAUUCUGUAUUUACUACCAGUUAUUUAAUUAUUUGCUUGAACAUGAUUUAAAAAUGACUUUUUUUGUGACUUAAAAUGCUUUACAUGUUUUAAAACUGAGUGUUUAAAAACGAAAAUAUGAGAUGUAGGGAUUAUGGCAAAGUUAUGAUCUGACUAUUUUUUGUUUUUGUAAGGUUUAUUAUGCUUUAUAUGUUUGUAUAUAGACGAGAUUAACUUGGCCAAGAAAUCUUCAUCACUGUAUAUAUUGGUCAGUACAUUUGUCAUUUGUAUUUGUAUAUAGAGCGAUAGCCAAAUGGUUGUAUUUACAAUGUAAAUCAUGCGUUUAUUGUUGCCAUUUUGACUUUCGCUGUAAACAUUCAUUUGUACAAACAAUUUUCAUCAUGUACAUCUUUUAGAUGCCAGAUAAUAAAAAAAAACAUUGCUUGUGGAGAUGCUCAUUUAAAACUUUCUUAAUGAUACAGAACAACACAUUCUGAAGAGGCAAAUAUGCUUUAGGCAAAAGGAACAUCUUGUUACUAGCAUAUGUAAUUCUUUUCAUAAAGUAAAGUCAAGCAACUAUUGAAAGAUUGGUUUAGCUUUGUUUUGCAUUAUCUUAAGAGAAAUUAAUUUAUUCAACUUGGAAAUCAGUCAAUUGCAAAUCAAGCGAGAGUGAUGUAAUAUGCUAACACUUGUCAAUAAUUGAAUUGUCUCUCUUUGUACGCAAGAUAGAGGGACGUUAUUGCUUGAAAAAUAAAGUUGUCUCCCUUGUUCCCUUGUUAGAUAAUACUUUUGUUCAUCUUUCAACAUAACAAGUACAUUCAGACAGUUAUUAAAAAUAUGACACACUUUAUACUCGGCCAUCAGUUUUUAUUAGGAUUUUGUGGAAUAUUUACUAAACUAAUAUACGUCUAUUUAAUAAAUUAAUAGUUAUGUGUGGAAUUCUGUCUUAAAUAUGGCAUGACCUAUCUUUUGUUUCAUUAAUUCGGAUCGGAAUAAUUUUAGGAAAUGGUAUGGUUAUGAGGGUCUCUACGUGCAAAAUGUUGCUUUUUGUGUUAAAGAUAUGGCUUGUACAUUGAAUUUGUUAUGGAAAUAUCAUAGUUUAUGUGACUUAAAGAGAUAUACAUGUU